UUGAACGCUGGCGGCAUGCUUUACACAUGCAAGUCGAACGGUAACAGGGAGCUUGCUCCGCUGACGAGUGGCGAACGGGUGAGUAAUGCAUCGGAACGUACCCAGUCGUGGGGGAUAACGUAGCGAAAGUUACGCUAAUACCGCAUGAGUCCUGAGGGAGAAAGCGGGGGAUCGCAAGACCUCGCGCGAUUGGAGUGGCCGAUGUCAGAUUAGCUAGUUGGUGGGGUAAAGGCCUACCAAGGCGACGAUCUGUAGCGGGUCUGAGAGGAUGAUCCGCCACACUGGGACUGAGACACGGCCCAGACUCCUACGGGAGGCAGCAGUGGGGAAUUUUGGACAAUGGGCGAAAGCCUGAUCCAGCCAUGCCGCGUGCGGGAAGAAGGCCUUCGGGUUGUAAACCGCUUUCAGCCGGAAAGAAAUCGCCACUUCUAAUACGAGUGGUGGAUGACGGUACCGGAAGAAGAAGCACCGGCUAACUACGU
rnacentral:rRNA from 1 species